UACGGAGGGUGCAAGCGUUAUCCGGAUUUACUGGGUUUAAAGGGUGCGUAGGUGGGUCUGUAAGUCAGUGGUGAAAAUCUCCGAGCUUAACUCGGAAACUGCCAUUGAUACUAUAGGUCUUGAAUUAUCUGGAGGUAAGCGGAAUAUGUCAUGUAGCGGUGAAAUGCUUAGAUAUGACAUAGAACACCAAUUGCGAAGGCAGCUUACUACGGAUAUAUUGACACUGAGGCACGAAAGCGUGGGGAUCAAACAGG
rnacentral:rRNA from 1 species